rnacentral:rRNA from 1 species
UACGGAGGGGGCAAGCGUUAAUCGGAAUUACUGGGCGUAAAGCGCACGCAGGUGGCUGAGUCAGUCGAUUGUGAAAGCCCUGGGCUUAACCUAGGAAUUGCAGUCGAUACUACUCAGCUAGAGUAUGGGAGAGGGCAGUGGAAUUCCCGGUGUAGCGGUGAAAUGCGUAGAUAUGCGGAGGAACACCGAUGGCGAAGGCAAUCCCCUGGGCCUGCACUGACGCUCAUGCACGAAAGCGUGGGGAGCAAACAGG